CUGAAAUUGAAGGCAGCUGGAUUUUCUUGAAACAGGAGGAUAGAGAUAACAAUAUAAAGAAUGGUAGCAGGAGUUUUACAUUGUUGUUGUUAGUGGAAUUUCGAAUUUCUUCUAUGUUUCUUGUAAAUUUGUCUUUGAAUCUGCUUUACACUUCUUGCAAUUGAUGAACCAAGUGUACACAUUGUGAUCUGACAAGAAGCAUUAGCAUUCUUGACUCCUGGAAAAGAAAACAGAAUUUCACACAUCUUUCUUCGAGAGUAUAGAGCUGCUGGUUAGCUGCAUACCACAUUUCACAAUCUGGGUUGAACUUCAAUAGUUGAUUCAAAUUGAAUGGUAAGAAUCUUGGCUGAGCUUUGAUUUCCAUUACUGAGAGAAAAUUUCUAGGCUAGGACAGAGCUGGUUGUCCAUUGAUCAAUUUGGAGAAAUCAGCGGCAGAGAUCUGUGGAAUUUUGAACUUGUGAAGAAAUUGAUCUCAUCUGGGAUUCUGGGGAUUUGGUGACUAAAACAAGUAUUAAAUGAGUUGUGGACAUCCUAAGUCAGAUACAAAAUUUUCAAGAAGUAUAAUCAACCUGCAAGAUCAUUAUCCUAGCAAAAUUAUGGAUGGGAGAGCAAGAAAGAUGAAUGUCACAACCCCAACUCCUCCCCCUCCCCUAAGAGUAGAGAAAAAGAAAAUGGAGUAUCAAAGAUCUAUGUCACAAGGCAGUGGGAGAAGGUUGUUUCCUGCAAGCUAUUUCAGCUUGGAAUCACUGCUGCUGUUAAUAUGUCUCACAGCAUCUCUGUUGAUCCUUCCUCUGAUACUUCC
rnacentral:misc_RNA from 1 species